rnacentral:tRNA from 1 species
AUUGUCGUGUCUGUGUGGUUAAGGAGUUGGAUUGUAAAUCUUUUGGGAUGUUCCCGCUCAGGUUCAAAUCCUUGCGACAACG